ACGGUGAAUACGUUCCCGGGUCUUGUACACACCGCCCGUCACACCACGAGAGUUUGUAACACCCGAAGCCGGUGGAGUAACCAUUUAUGGAGCUAGCCGUCGAAGGUGGGACAAAUGAUUGGGGUGAAGUCGUAACAAGGUAGCCGUAUCGGAAGGUGCGGCUGGAUCACCUCCUUU
rnacentral:rRNA from 1 species